rnacentral:rRNA from 1 species
AGAGUUUGAUCCUGGCUCAGGAUGAACGCUGGCGGCGUGCCUAACACAUGCAAGUCGAACGGUUCAAGCAAUUGGACAGUGGCGCACGGGUGAGUAACACGUAGCUAACCUGCCCCGAAGCGCGGGAUAACGCCGCGAAAGCGGCGCUAAUACCGCAUAAGCUCCCGACCUGUAGAGGGUUGGGCGAAAAGGCGCAAGUCACUUCGGGAGGGGGCUGCGACCCAUCAGCUCGUUGGUGAGGUAACGGCUUACCAAGGCGACGACGGGUAGGGGGCCUGAGAGGGUGACCCCCCACACUGGGACUGAGACACGGCCCAGACUCCUACGGGAGGCAGCAGUGAGGGAUAUUGCGCAAUGGGGGCAACCCUGACGCAGCGACGCCGCGGGGGGGAUGACGGCCUUCGGGUUGUAAAGCCCUUUUAGCACUGGCGAGAACAAGGACGGUAGGUGCUGAAGAAGUCUCGGCUAACUACGUGCCAGCAGCCGCGGUAAUAC